AUCCCUUCUUUCCCAUUUUGCUAGCUCUGAAUUCAAGGUCCCAAAUCAAGGUUUGGUCUAUCUUGAUUAUCUCUUGUUGAGUUGCUUUCUGCUUUACUACUUCAUUCUUGUUCCUAGGGUGUGUUGCAUGUUGGUGUGGUCUGAAUACACAAUUUAGGUGCUGCUUUGGACCAGUAAAAUGGUCUUGAUUUCAGAGCGCGGUGGAGGCUUGCCGGACGGCCGGCAUGCCUAGGAGAUGCGGGUAAAGCGGCACCACGGGGCUGAGGUUCGGCUUCUCCCUCCUCUCUUUCUCUGUCUCUUCCUCUUUGUCUAUCUCUCUCUCAUCUCUCUUUCUCGUUUCUCUCUUCUUUUCUGGUGGAUGAGGGCACAACUACAGGGAACGGGGGCCAGAUGCUUCGGAGGAAAGGGUGCGGUGGGUUGAGGACGUUGGUGGACUACUGGAUGCCUAGAAGGAAGGAAGAAGGACCAGUGGCAUGGCCUCAACGGGAUGAGGAGAAGGCGGAUUCCGGCAUGGCAUUCACGAUUGGAUUUUCUUCUCAGUACCUUCGCUUCCAUGGGUGUUUGUGCUGGCUCAUGUUGCGAUGGAUUACGUCUGGCUUACAACAGGCGCCUGCAGCCCUGUUUCCCCAAUGAAAUCAGGUUCCAGUGAACUAGGUGGCUGCAUCCACAAGGUACUGAGUUAGCCGGUUGAU